rnacentral:rRNA from 1 species
UACGAAGGGUGCAAGCGUUACUCGGAAUUACUGGGCGUAAAGCGUGCGUAGGUGGUGAGUUAAGUCUGAUGUGAAAUCCCCGGGCUCAACCUGGGAAUGGCAUUGGAUACUGGCUCGCUAGAGUGCGGUAGAGGGUGGUGGAAUUCCCGGUGUAGCAGUGAAAUGCGUAGAGAUCGGGAGGAUCAUCUGUGGCUAAGGCGGCCACCGGGACCAACACUGACACUGAGGCACGAAAGCGUGGGGAGCAAACAGG